UAAUACGGAGGGUGCAAGCGUUAAUCGGAAUUACUGGGCGUAAAGCGCACGCAGGCGGUUUGUUAAGUCAGAUGUGAAAUCCCCGGGCUCAACCUGGGAACUGCAUUUGAAACUGGCAAGCUAGAGUCUCGUAGAGGGGGGUAGAAUUCCAGGUGUAGCGGUGAAAUGCGUAGAGAUCUGGAGGAAUACCGGUGGCGAAGGCGGCCCCCUGGACGAAGACUGACGCUCAGGUGUGAAAGCGUGGGGAGCAAACAGGAUUAGAUACCCUGGUAGUCCACGCUGUAAACGAUGUCGAUUUGGAGGUUGUGCCCUUGAGGCGUGGCUUCCGGAGCUAACGCGUUAAAUCGACCGCCUGGGGAGUACGGCCGCAAGGUUA
rnacentral:rRNA from 1 species